GUUUCCCAGAUUUGGUUCCUUAUCUCGGUCUUCCUGAACUAUUAUCACUUCUCUGUCAGAUAUCUUACAGCAUCUGAGUUUUUACUCCAAAACGAAUGAAAAUCUAAAUUGUAGACUCUCUUCAUCUUUUCUCUUACUCAGAUUCAUCAUUGAAACCCUAAGUUUUUUAUAUCGUAACUAACUUGAAAUCAUUUGUUACUCCAUGAAAACUCUGUCACUGUGUACAUCGAUGGAAGAUUUUAAUCUGCCAACUCCAAUUGCAAUCUAAAAAUACUGUUGGUAAUGAAAGAGAAGAUCAAGUGAGAUUCAAUCAGAUGUUCUAUGAACUUUUAGAUCUAAAUCAAAGGUUUUUUGGGUUUAAUGAUUAAGCUACAGAACCAGAUGGUGAAGGAGGAGUAAUUAGUAGUCUUAGAGAUCGGAAUCUAAGAGGUUAAAGGAUAUCUUAUCUAUCUGUAAGGAGAAUUUUAAGAAGUGCAGUUUGGAUGGUGGUGAAACGGAUUGGAUGAACAGAUUCAACAACUUCAUGAGAAACAAAUUCUAAGGGCUUAUGACUGAAGAGUUGAGAAAUUUUUUGGAGUUUUACCUAAAGUUUAGUUGCUGUGCCAAAGAUUAAUUGGGAUGGUUCGCCUUAUUUAAAAAAUCCAAUUUUAAGCCUGUUAGGCUUAUAAUAUCUUGCACACUUGCAUCUGGAAAAGGAGCACAAUGCAAACUCAGAAAGCAAAUAUGAAGUUGCUCAAGCACUAAUACCGCCAUUAUUCGACAUUUGUUAAGUUGUUGAUCUGCAGAACGCUCACUAGCUUUGGUGUGAUUCCAAUGAUGACGGGGAUAAGCUAUAACAUUAACUAGUUGGCAUCUAAUGGUUGCAUUUUGCACACUUCAUGUGGCACAAAGAUUCAAUGUUUUUGAGACCAAGGCAAUUGAUACCCAAACUGUAAUGCUAUUGGGUAUCAUAAAUUGCGUGUCUACUGGACUUCUCAAUUUAUGUCUUGGGUUCAAUUCCACUGGAUUCUACCACGUUAACUAUUUUGAUUUUAUCUUAUGAUCAUUUUUAAGAGAAUUUAGGAUCUGAUUAGUUUAGUUUGGUCGCAGUAGUGAAAGUUUAAUCCGGAUGAAAUGGUUUUUCUGUACAGACGACGAAACUUGCAAUAUACCCUUUACAGUACUGUCGGGGACCCAGUUCCUUAACAAGGUAUACGAUUCUGAGUUGCGCGGCUCAGUUCGUCAUCAGAUAGUUUAUCAUUUUGUUAGUUUGUACUUGUGUUUUAAGAAAACUUAGAACUUGUAUUGGUGCUCAUUUUGUUAGUUUGUACUUAUCUUUAAGAAAAUUUAGAACUUGUGUUGGUGCUGAUUCAAGUUUUGUUUACAAUUUUUGGUUAUUCUGAAUCCACGCUAUGAUUAGUGUGUUGUUCGUAUAAUGAAUUCUAAGCUUAAUUGAAUGGGAAUGAUUUACUUAA